rnacentral:tRNA from 48 species
GCAACGGUGGUGUAGAGGUAUCAUUGUCGCCUGCCACGCGGCAGACCCGGGUUCGAUUCCCGGCCGUUGCA